GAUGAACGCUGGCGGCGUGCCUAAUACAUGCAAGUCGAGCGAACGGACGAGAAGCUUGCUUCUCUGAUGUUAGCGGCGGACGGGUGAGUAACACGUGGAUAACCUACCUAUAAGACUGGGAUAACUUCGGGAAACCGUAGCUAAUACCGGAUAAUAUUUUGAACCGCAUGGUUCAAACGUGAAAGACGGUCUUGCUGUCACUUAUAGAUGGAUCCGCGCUGCAUUAGCUAGUUGGUAAGGUAACGGCUUACCAAGGCAACGAUGCAUAGCCGACCUGAGAGGGUGAUCGGCCACCCUGGAACUGAGACACGGUCCAGACUCCUACGGGAGGCAGCAGUAGGGAAUCUUACGCAAGGGGCGAAAGCCUGACGGAGCAACGCCGCGUGAGUGAUGAAGGUCUUCGGAUCGUAAAACUCUGUUAUUAGGGAAGAACAUAUGUGUAAGUAACUGUGCACAUCUUGACGGUACCUAAUCAGAAAGCCACGGCUAACUACGUG
rnacentral:rRNA from 1 species